GAUUGUGUUAGGUUGGUGCAAAAGUAAUCAUGGCUUUUGUCAUUACUUUCAAUGGCAAAAACUGUGAUUGCUUUUGCACCAACCUAUACUUC
rnacentral:pre_miRNA from 1 species